GCAGAUAUAAAAGCAGACAUGCUCCCUUCUCAGCUUCAGAUGUAUGAAAAGAUGGUGCCUGAGGGGUUUGGCUUACACAGCAUGGGAAACAUCAGCUUCAUAGAAAUCUGGAGACUAUACUGUGUGGUCAGCAGCAUGUACUCUCUGGACAAACACAUCACUCCUCUGGAGAAAACAGAAGAAUAGAAAAGAAAAACCCAACCAAAAGGCAAUCUAUACAAGUAACACUAAUUUCCUUCUGAUUAACUAAAGGUAUUAUUUCCAAAGCAAGACUUUAAUUCCGAUUUAAUGGCAAGCCCCAAACUUUAGUUCUUAAAUAACAGAAUUUCACCCUCCAUCAAGAAAUUUUGUCUAGGUAACAGCUUACAGAGAGCAAGGAAAGUCAAGAGUUCUUCCUCUAUCAGUUAAGACAUCUGCAUAGCACACUGGGAAAGAGGAAUGCUACCACCCUGUAAAAUUAGCUCAAACAGAACAUCCCUAAAAAGCGAGUAGGCCUAUCUGAAAAUCUCAAGCCUUUUUUGUUCCUUUUGAAACCCUACCUCAACCUAAACACACAUUCUCAAUCAAUAUUUAAUAAUACAAAAGCCACACCACCCUGAGGCAUUCAAUAGCCUCCUAUUCCUAUUAUUUUCAAUGUGGUAAUAUGCAAUACAGCCACUGAAUUAUUUGAAGGGAUGGUUGCACUCCUUGGGUAAUACUAGAGACUAAACCUGAAGCCAGCUUAAGCUUCUACUGCAGCCUGCACCACCAGACAGCUGAAACUGGAGGUAUGAAAUUGGAGAGUAAUUAUUAUUUGAAGUAUCACCUCCUCCAUCUUAUUCUGAAACACUGACUGCAAGUAUUGUGAUUUUGUCACAGGAAAUAGCCACGCUUGUGGUUUUUUUCUUAGCUACUUUAUCUUACAAGAUAGUAAUGCAGAGAGCAGUGAAAUGAAGCACAGAAUCAUCUCAUUAAUGACCUGUCAUUCCUCAUGCCUUCCUCUUUUCAUAAUCAAACAAAUAAUUAAGAGCAAACAGAGUAAACAGCUAACACUUGGAAACAUCAGAAAAUGGCGAAAAUUGUCAUCUUGUAAAUGAACUUUAGGUCAGCUUUGAAUGUUGAACAAGCACAAGCACACCCUGUUAUGCCCACCCAAGCUGCGCACUCACGGCAUGCAACUAAUAAUGUUGAAAGUUUUCCUUGUUAAAAUGUGAGCAGUCCAUUGCCACCUUGCAGCACUCUUUUGCCCUGGAUAACUCUAGGCAGUGCCUGCUUAAGCAGCUGUAUACUCUGCACUAAGUAUCAAGCAAUUUGCUGCCUCUAUGGCUAAAUAGAGCCCUCUCAUAUUGCCAGAAGCAAGUGAAAUAUUUUGCUAUGACUGACAACAAACUAAAUAAAGACUAUCACACCUGCUUUCAGCUAUUGCUUUUAUGAACAUAAUGAAAAUACCUAGAAAAGGCAACCGCCACCAACAGAGACUGCCUGCUAUUGUUUGCUAUUCUUUUUUAAUCACAGCUACCAAACAAGUACCUUCAUCAUAAUGAACAGGUAUCACUUCCAGUGACAGAAUUCAAAAAAUGUAAAAACAUUUGGCGAUAACUGGAAAAUCAGCCCAAGAAACAAAAAUGAAAGGACUCAUCAGAAAUUUUUGUCUUCAUAUGUAUAAUAAAUCACUUGCUCAAUUAAAUGGCUACCCCUUACAAAAAUAAUUAAUGCUGCUACUUGUGCUGGGCUGCCCUGCAAUGCUACAAGAGCCCAGCAACACAGUUGUGGUAGGAGAAUGUUAUCUUCUGCCCAGGGACCAUUUGUUUCCAAGUCUUGUCCUCCCUCAGCUUCCAAAGCUAUGCAGUAUAUCUAUUCUGGUUCAAGGCAAAAGACAUUUUCAUACUAUGCCUCACAGAGUCCGGAAUUGUCUGAGAAAUAAGCCUAAAGGACUACUCAGCUAAAUACAGGCUAAAAUUAUGCAAGGAUAUGAAGGAACCUCAAGAAUAAAAAUCUAAGCAUUGAAAGCAGAGGUGGGAGAUUUGUAGGCAUGUUAACUUCUUGGUUUGCCUCUAUCAGAGAAUUCAUGGAACCCCUUUUCUGUUUUCCUCCCCCAGAACCUCACAUGGCUGGAUUCACAUCUCCAGACACUACUGUCCCUGCCUGUGGCAGGGGGUUGGAACUAGGUGAGCAUUAAGGUGCCUUCCAACCCAAAUCAUUCUGUGAUUGCACUGAGACUGUGUACUGAUCUUUCCAGAUUCUAUGGCAGCUCCCUGGUGGUUCUUCUGCAACCUUCAGCAUGUACUGAAUGCUGAUGGCAGCUAGAACCCAGUUCUUCUUUCACUCAUUUGAUAAAUAAGCAGGCUCCCAAACUCCUCCCUGCACAGCAUGAAAUGAAAAAAGGGAGGCAAUGAUUUUAACACUUUCACUCAAAUAAAGCUGAACAGAAUACAGAUGAAACAUUUCCUUAGAUGAGUUUUCUCCCUGCUGAAUCCCAAAGGCAUUCUGCAAACAAUGGGGGUGUUAUUCUAAGGAGAAUUAAAAAAGAAAAAAAAGCCUGCAAAAAUCUAAUUUAAAAUGUUAGGCAUUUUAACCUAAGCAUAGGCCCACCCCAGCUGCCUUUGCUUUGUUAAUGGCUCUCCAAAGCUAAGCAAGCCUGUUACCUGGAUUACUGAUAGAUUGAUAAUGGAAUUACCCCUGGUAUAAAGCUGCUUUGCAAUCAAAUUUAACUGCUAAGGUUUGCUGGGGUUUUUUAACCACUGAACUACAGUUCACCUACUUUCUGCCCAGCAAACAAACUUUUUCUCAGAAUUUCAGUUCACUAAAGGUGUUCAAGGGACAAAAAAACCAGAGAAACCACAUAAAAUGCUCUUUCCAGCUCGGUGCAAGACUAUCAAAGCUUUUUCUUGAGAGCGUUCUGCUUUUCUCUUCUCCAAGCACACUGCAAUGCUCACACCAAGACAGACAAAAGGCUGUACAGAAGACACUCUUCUUUCCUGCAAAGACCCCCAUCCCUAUGCAUGAACUUGCAAAUACCAUCGGGGUAGCACACACUCCAGAUGUAGGCCUGUGAAAAUGCAGGCUUUGGUACUACAGCUGAAACAUUCCUCUCUGUUUAGAAAAGGUUCUGAGCUCACGCAAAUGACACUGCAAGACAGAAUAGACUACACCAAUCCUGUGACACAACUACUCAAACGCUAGGGCAUGGGAGAAGGAGGUAGGAAGACAGAAAGAUAUUAAUAGGUGAAUAUUCCAAAGAAUACUAAAUGAGAUUAGCAAAAAGUGAUUGACACUGUGCUUUCUAACUAGGCUUCUCUGUCUAUAAGACACUUAAAGUAGGUAAGAGCAGUUGGAUAUUUAAUAAAAAUACUCCCAUGGGCUUGUACCUCCAUGGGCCCUAAACAGGCGAACUUCAGGCAGCCUAAACUUAUGAUGCAGUUGCCUUGAGAGCAAAUGACCACCCAUAAACGCUUCCCCCCCCAGCAUGCUACCUAGAGCUGAUUUAAGUGUUUUUAUGCAUUUCCAAUCUCAGAUGAUUUUCUUCUGAUCCUGCUGUAAUUAGCUCAUUUGCUUUUGCAGAUGCUUUCAGACCCAGCUUCAGUGACUUCCAAGUAGCAUAGCUAGACUUGACGAAGAGAGCUACUUAAUGUCAUCAGGUGUGCUCCUCAGGCACUCUGUUUACAGAAGCAAAUCAGUGUGACCUAUAAACAGCUGAGACUUACUGAAAUUUCUCUGGAUAGCAGAAAAAGAAGUUCAGCCACAGAGUCUGUAGUUUGCAAAGUAGACCUUGAGUGAAUGAUUCCUAGAGAAUAAUCUUUGCAGCAAAUUCUCCUAGUUCUGAAUAGGCUUUGACUUUCAUGAAUUCACUUGCAAUUUAAAAGAAUUUGACUUUUUCAGAAGAAAAAGCAAAUUAGUGAACCAUCACCAUCACACAGUCAGGAUCCGCUCUCACAGGUCACAGCCACAUACUUGGCUGUUUAAUCAGGAGGGACUGGACCUGUUCCCAGACUGGUUACACUUAGGUUUGUAUUUAAAAAGGGACUCUGAAGGACAGAGGCAAUGACUGAGGAUCCUUGGCUCUUUUUUAGAAUAAAUAUAGUAUUGAGUUAACGCUGAUACUCAUCAGCUGGAAUACAGACUUUUACAAAAUGACUGAAAUUGAAACACUAGAAAAGGCUGAGCCUGUUUUAAUACAGGCCAGAGCCUGUUCUAAAGUGAAUGUAGAAGAGGGGGCAUGAGCUCCUACUUUAAGGGGGCAGCCAUCCUCUUCAAGUGUAAACACUUACCUAGCCAAAUUUGGGGGGCGAGAUACUUGUCUCACCUGAAGAUUAUCCAACAAUCUGGGAGCAAGUCUCAGGCCUGGUUGGACUGCUUACAAAACACACUCCAAAUCCUCCUCCCCUUAAUGCUCAUAGCAAACACAAAACCCACUACAGCCGAGCCUUAGACCAAUGUUUGUCAAUUGUGUCAUGUGACUUCCUCUUCACCAACUUCUCAAUCACUUCUCUAAUAUGGAUGAGAAUAUAAAAAAGUAAAAGUUUUUCAGGGAUUUGCCAAAAAACAAAAGAAUUCAUUUCAACCAUCUCUUUCACUGUUCCUCUCUUGCACUACCUAAUUAAUGGUCCUGAGACAAGCCCAGUUAUUCCUCAUUUUUUUAAAGCUCUGACAGUGAGCAAGAUUAACUCAAGCUACCAGGAAGACAGCCCCCUCAGAGGCAGCAGGAUGGAGGUUGAACACCUUUGCCCCCUGAGCUCCAAAAUCAACACAGAGAGUCAAGGUUGGGCCCCUUUAUCCCACACAGACUUCACCUGAGAGAAGACUACACACCAAAUUAUCUUGAAGGAUCUGUACUAAGCUACUUGGCAUUGUGUGUGCUUAGAUAUAGAAGAGAAAUCUCACUAUGAUGUAAUUCUUCA